rnacentral:rRNA from 1 species
GAGUCGGACCUGCCCAGUGAAUAAUUUUAACGGCCGCGGUACUCUGACCGUGCGAAGGUAGCAUAAUCAUUUGCCCUAUAAUUGAGGGCUAGUAUGAAUGGUUUGACGCGAACAAGACUGUCUCUGUAUAAUUUUUUAGAAUUUGAUUUCUAGGUGAAGAAACCUAGAUAUUAUUGAUAGACAAGAAGACCCUAUUGAGCUUUAAAGAAACAGGUUGAGAGAAAUGUAUGGUUUUAAAUAUUAAUCUGCUUGAAAUUUUGGUUGGGGCGACUAUGGAACAAAUAAAACUUCUUUAUAUUCUUAAAAACUUUCGGGUCUUGAUCCAAAAAUUUUGAUUAAUGGAAAUAGUUACCAUAGGGAUAACAGCAUAAUUCUCUUUGAGAGUUCUUAUCGAAAAGGGAGUUUGUGACCUCGAUGUUGGACUAGAAUGUCCUAAAGAUGCAGCAGUCUUUAAGGGUUGGUC